rnacentral:lncRNA from 1 species
CAAAAUAGUAUUAACAGAACAAGCCGUUAAACAACUUUUGGCUACUCAACAGGUAUGAUUCAUUUUAAUUUACAAUUAAAUACGUAUUUCAUUAUUUAUAAAUAAAUUUAAAAACAUAAAUCUAAUAUUUUAUUACAAUUAUAGAUCACAGUAAUUGCAGUAUUGAAUCCUACUGAAGAAGAAUUAGAAACAUUCUGGUAUACAAAUAUUUCACUACCAGCUGACAACCAACAUUGUAUACUAGACAACAUUGUCAAUGGUGAAUCCA